AGUGAACGCUGGCGGUAGGCCUAACACAUGCAAGUCGAACGGCAGCACAGUAAGAGCUUGCUCUUACGGGUGGCGAGUGGCGGACGGGUGAGGAAUACAUCGGAAUCUACUUUUUCGUGGGGGAUAACGUAGGGAAACUUACGCUAAUACCGCAUACGACCUACGGGUGAAAGCAGGGGAUCUUCGGACCUUGCGCGAUUGAAUGAGCCGAUGUCGGAUUAGCUAGUUGGCGGGGUAAAGGCCCACCAAGGCGACGAUCCGUAGCUGGUCUGAGAGGAUGAUCAGCCACACUGGACCUGAGACACGGCCCAGACUCCUACGGGAGGCAGCGGUGGGGAAUAUUGGACAAUGGGCGCAAGCCUGAUCCAGCCAUACCGCGUGGGUGAAGAAGGCCUUCGGGUUGUAAAGCCCUUUUGUUGGGAAAGAAAAGCAGCAGGUUAAUACCCCGCUGUUCUGACGGUACCCAAAGAAUAAGCACCGGCUAACUUCGU
rnacentral:rRNA from 1 species